AUUAGAGUUUGAUCCUGGCUCAGGAUGAACGCUAGCGGCAGGCCUAAUACAUGCAAGUCGAACGAGAGCGGGGAGCUUGCUUCCCAAUCUAGUGGCGCACGGGUGCGUAACGCGUAUGCAACCUACCUUAAUCAGGGGGAUAGCCUCUCGAAAGAGAGAUUAACACCGCAUAAAAUCACAAUACCGCAUGGUAUAAUGAUCAAAUAUUUAUAGGAUUAAGAUGGGCAUGCGUGACAUUAGCUAGUUGGUGAGGUAAUGGCUCACCAAGGCAACGAUGUCUAGGGGAUCUGAGAGGAUGACCCCCCACACUGGUACUGAGACACGGACCAGACUCCUACGGGAGGCAGCAGUAAGGAAUAUUGGUCAAUGGGGGCAACCCUGAACCAGCCAUGCCGCGUGCAGGAAGACAGCCCUAUGGGUCGUAAACUGCUUUUAUUGGGGAAUAACCUCCUGUAUGUAUACAGGACUGAAUGUACCCAAGGAAUAAGGAUCGGUUAACUCCGUGCCAGCAGCCGCGGUAAUACGGAGGAUCCAAGCGUUAUCCGGAUUUAUUGGGUUUAAAGGGUGCGUAGGCGGCUUAUUAAGUCAGGGGUGAAAGACGGUGGCUCAACCAUCGCAGUGCCUUUGAUACUGAUGAGCUUGAUUGCAGCCGAGGUAGGCGGAAUGUGACAAGUAGCGGUGAAAUGCAUAGGUAUGUCGCAGAACACCGAUUGCGAAGGCAGCUUACUAAAGUGUAAAUGACGCUGAGGCACGAAAGCGUGGGGAUCAAACAGGAUUAGAUACCCUGGUAGUCCACGCCCUAAACGAUGAAUACUCGAUGUUAGCGAUAUACAGUUAGCGUCUAAGCGAAAGCGUUAAGUAUUCCACCUGGGGAGUACGCCCGCAAGGGUGAAACUCAAAGGAAUUGACGGGGGCCCGCACAAGCGGUGGAGCAUGUGGUUCAAUUCGACGCAACGCGAAGAACCUUACCUGGGCUCGAAAUGCAGAUGACAUCCGGCGAAAGCCGGCUCCCGCAAGGGCAUCUGUAUAGGUGCUGCAUGGCUGUCGUCCGCUCGUGUCGUGAGAUGUUGGGUUAAGUCCCGCAACGAGCGCAACCCUCGUCCUCUGUUGCCAUCAGGUCAAGCUGGGCACUCUGAGGAGACUGCCGGUGAUAAACCGGAGGAAGGUGGGGGUGACGUCAAGUCAGCAUGGCCUUUAUGUCCAGGGCCACACACGUGCUACAAUGGCGGAUACAAAGCGCUGCAAACCCGCGAGGGUGAGCCAAUCGCAUAAAGUCCGUCUCAGUUCGGAUUGUAGGCUGCAACUCGCCUGCAUGAAGUUGGAAUCGCUAGUAAUCGCGGAUCAGCAUGCCGCGGUGAAUACGUUCCCGGGCCUUGUACACACCGCCCGUCACAUCACGAAAGCUGGCUGUACUAGAAGUAGCUUCGCUAACCCGCAAGGGAGGCAGGUUCCUAAGGUAUGGUCAGUGAUUGGGGUGAAGUCGUAACAAGGUAACCAAUC
rnacentral:rRNA from 1 species